rnacentral:rRNA from 1 species
CCUACGGGCGGCAGCAGUGAGGAAUAUUGGUCAAUGGACGAGAGUCUGAACCAGCCAAGUAGCGUGAAGGAUGACUGCCCUAUGGGUUGUAAACUUCUUUUAUAUGGGAAUAAAAUGUUCCACGUGUGGGAUUUUGUAUGUACCAUAUGAAUAAGGGUCGGCUAACUCCGUGCCAGCAGCCGCGGUAAUACGGAGGAUCCGAGCGUUAUCCGGAUUUAUUGGGUUUAAAGGGAGCGUAGGUGGAUUGUUAAGUCAGUUGUGAAAGUUUGCGGCUCAACCGUAAAAUUGCAGUUGAAACUGGCAGUCUUGAGUACAGUAGAGGUGGGCGGAAUUCGUGGUGUAGCGGUGAAAUGCUUAGAUAUCACGAAGAACUCCGAUUGCGAAGGCAGUUCACUGGACUGCAACUGACACUGAGGCUCGAAAGUGUGGGUAUCAAACAGGAUUAGAUACCCGAGUAGUC